GUGUUGAAAGAAGAGACAGUUGGCAUCUCUCUUGAUUGGACAGGAACAGCCUUUGGGCUUUCCUAUUACACACAACGGUUAAGGCUCCAUGCUCCGGCGGAUCUUACCUGUUUUUUUU